UUUGGCGUUGGUUUCACUUCAAAUGACCUCCUGAAAUUGAAAUGGUUCACAGAUCAAGAUCUGGUCAGAUCUGACUUUGUCGAAUUAAACCAGGAGCUUGGAGACGAAUUUUUGAAUGAAACCAACUGGGGGUACUUAGCUUGUGCCAUGGUGAUACCGAGAGAGGCAAUUGCUAAGUUGUGAUACUCUCAUACCUUUACUAGAUGCGAACAAUUCCGGAGAAGAAGAAGAGGUGGAAUCGGAUGAGAAGAUUAUUUAUGUUGU